UACGAAGGGGGCUAGCGUUGUUCGGAGUUACUGGGCGUAAAGGGUGUGUAGGCGGUUCUUUAAGUUUGGUGUGAAAUCUCCCGGCUCAACUGGGAGGGUGCGCCGAAUACUGAGGGACUAGAGUGCGGGAGAGGAAAGUGGAAUUCCUGGUGUAGCGGUGAAAUGCGUAGAUAUCAGGAGGAACACCGGUGGUGUAGACGGCUUUCUGGACCGUAACUGACGCUGAGACACGAAAGCGUGGGUAGCAAACAGG
rnacentral:rRNA from 1 species